GUACUAAUCUUCAGCAGUACAUAUUCUAAAAUUGGAAUAAUACAGAUAAGAUUAGCACAGUCCUGUGUGAGGAUGACAUGUAAAUUUGUGAAGUCAGAGUCAUAGAG